rnacentral:rRNA from 1 species
UACGUAGGGGGCAAGCGUUGUCCGGAAUUAUUGGGCGUAAAGAGCUCGUAGGCGGUCUGUCGCGUCCGUUGUGAAAACUCGAGGCUCAACCUCGGGCUUGCAGUGGAUACGGGCAGACUAGAGUGCGGUAGGGGAGACUGGAAUUCCUGGUGUAGCGGUGAAAUGCGCAGAUAUCAGGAGGAACACCGAUGGCGAAGGCAGGUCUCUGGGCAUUAACUGACGCUGAGGAGCGAAAGCAUGGGGAGCGAACAGG